rnacentral:rRNA from 1 species
UCCGUAGGCGGUUUAUUAAGUCAGAGGUGAAAUCCCGCAGCUUAACUGUGGAACUGCCUUUGAUACUGGUAGACUUGAGUUAUAUGGAAGUAGAUAGAAUAUGUAGUGUAGCGGUGAAAUGCAUAGAUAUUACAUAGAAUACCGAUUGCGAAGGCAGUCUACUACGUAUAUACUGACGCUAAUGGACGAAAGCGUGGGGAGCGAACG